CAGCUCCCGGUGUCACAUGCUCCUCCAUAGGGGGCUGGGGCAAACGAGCCGCGCUGCCUAAAGCAGCAGCGAUCGGCUGGCGUCCUUCCAUCAGCAGUUCUGCAGGGAAUGCCUCACCCAAUCCACAGAAUGCCUCCCAAACCGUGAAAUAUUGCUGGGGAUUUAAAGAAAGAAAGAAAGAAAGAAAGAAAGAAAGAAAGAAAGAAAGAAAGAAAGAAAGAAAGAAAGAAGGAAAGAAAGGGACCCUCCUGACAAAAUGGCAGCUGGAAGUGACCGCCACGGACACUUCCGGCCCUCUAGGAACCGUGGAUAUGUGGGUUUCAACCCUUUCGUAUCCACAGAUAAUGAAACUGGGUGUCAGUUAGACACCCAUGAAUACAUGAACUUGUGGAUAUAGAGUCCGUGUAUAACAAGGUUUGCCUGUAUUGUUCCUUUUAUAAUGAUUGUUGUAAUAGAUUUAUAACUCUCUUGUUACUGGAUUUUCCUGGCUGAGAAAGCUCUUGCUAUCAGAUAUUAAGCCUAUAUGUAUUCAUUCAUUCAAUUUAUAUGCCGUCCUUUCGAAAGUGGUUUAGGAUAGUUUACAUUUUCACUCACAAUGUGGUUAAGUUUUGUGUGGCAGUAGUUAAAACCUGUCAGUAGUUAACAGCAGCUAACAAGUAAAGUAAAGUAAAGUGUGCCGUCAAGUUGAUUUUGACUCCUGGUGCCCACAGAGCCCUGUGGUUUUCUUUGGUAGAAUACAGGAGGGGUUUACCAUUGCCAACUCCCACACAGUAUGAGAUGAUGCCUUUCAGCAUCUUCCUAUAUUGUUGCUGCCAAAUAUAGGUGUUUCCUAGGAAACAUACCAGCAGGGAUUCGAACUGGCAACUUUUUGCUUGUCAGUCUAGCAUUUCCCCACUGCGCCACCAAUAGAUAUGGUAGAGAAACCUUCUAGUGUGGGAAGUUGGGUCUUACUAUGAUAUUGUAAUAUUGUUCUGUAUCUGAUCUAUCUGAUGGUAAUAAAUUGAUUGAUCUGUACAGAUCUGUAAGAUUUACACAUUAUGCUCCAUGCAUGUACAAUAGUAAAAGUUCUAUAUAUACUCUG